GGGGUUGUAGCUCAGGGGUAGAGCACUUGCCUCACAUGCAUGAGUCCCAGGGUUUAAUCCUCAGCACCA
rnacentral:tRNA from 1 species